GCUCCAAUAGCGUAUAUUAAAGUUGUUGCGGUUAAAAAGCUCGUAGUUGGACUUCUGCAGGGGACGACCGGUCUACCACUGGGUUAGCAUCUGGCUCGGCUUUUGCAUUUUUCAGGCACAGGCUGCUGCACUUGAUUGUGUGGUGCUUACGUCUGAACCUUUACUUUGAAAAAAUCAGAGUGUUUCAAGCAGGCAGUCGC
rnacentral:rRNA from 1 species